rnacentral:rRNA from 1 species
UACGGAGGGUGCGAGCGUUGUCCGGAAUCACUGGGCGUAAAGGGCGCGUAGGCGGCGCGAGCAGUCGGCGGUGAAAGCCCGGAGCUCAACUCCGGGUCGGCCGUCGAUACUCUCGUGCUUGAGCACUGUAGAGGCAGAUGGAAUUCCGGGUGUAGCGGUGGAAUGCGUAGAGAUCCGGAAGAACACCAAUGGCGAAAGCAGCUUUCUGGGACGGUACUGACGCUGAGACGCGAAAGCGUGGGGAGCGAACAGG